UACGUAGGGUGCGAGCGUUAAUCGGAAUUACUGGGCGUAAAGCGUGCGCAGGCGGUUAUGUAAGACAGUUGUGAAAUCCCCGGGCUCAACCUGGGAAAUGCAUCUGUGACUGCAUAGCUAGAGUACGGUAGAGGGGGAUGGAAUUCCGCGUGUAGCAGUGAAAUGCGUAGAUAUCGGGAGGAACACCAGUGGCGAAGGCGACUACCUGGCCUGUUCUUGACGCUGAGGCGCGAAAGCUAGGGGAGCAAACGGG
rnacentral:rRNA from 1 species